rnacentral:lncRNA from 10 species
CCUUUCCUGUUAAGUGGGCACACUGCUACCUCCUUCACAGGGCUGCUGAGAAGAAAGGAGACAGGCGCAUCCGCACACAGAAAGCACUCAGUAAAUGCUGUUUCCCCCCUUCCCCCUAUACAAAGAGACUGAAAGCAACCGCGGCUGCCCGGAGGUCCGAACUGGAGGGUGGCCGCAGCCGUGACUUCCUUGGGAACCGCGCUGCCUCGACUCGGCUACCUCUCUGCGAAGCACUCGCUAAGCCGGGCAGCCCCGGGGUCGCUUAGCGGCCCAGGAGGCGCCAGCGAUCCUGUUCCCCUGCAGAGCUAUGGGGACCGGAAGGCGAAACAGAGCUGUCGACGCGGGAGCAUACGCUGCCCACCAGUGGAGCGCAGGUCAUCAAAGCCGAAUCCGAAUUUGAAUUCUGUGCGGCUGAUUGCAGAGCUGUCUUGAGGCCCUGAGGACUGGGAUCUGCGACCCCCAGUGGACAAAAGUCGACUCUACCCCAGAGGCUAAUUUUCUCAAGGCAGGCACCUGUUGAGAGGCUGCAAGUAAAAUACAGGGGAACGCUAGUUUCCGAGCUCAUGUAAGAAUCUGAGAAAUAACGGGGGUAAACUUUGACAAAGGGGUGUGUGAUUGAGACCUGAGGUCAUGAGAUUAAUGGGUUCUUAUUACCUCUUGCGGGGGGAGGUAGUAAAGGGGAGGGGCAGGUGGCCUGUGGCGUCCUGAAGAUUUUUCAUGCAUUCUUUUUCCGAGAACUAAACAUUGUCAACUCUAAUAUAUCUAUAGCGCAACUUGCUUCAAGGACAGUAAUAAUUUUCAUUUAAUAAUUUUCCAUUUAAUCCCUUUACUACAUGGUCAUUUCUGUCUCUUAUAUUCCUAGGUUUCCCUUUAUAAGGAUUAGUCAGAUCAACAUUAUAUCUCUAACAAUGUUCCUUAGCUUUUUCACUCUCAUUAUACCUAGAGAAUUUAAUGGAAUAAACCAGAUUUUAUAUAUAUAUAUAUAUAUAUAUAUAUAUAUAUAUAUAAAUGUGUGUGUGUGUGCGUGUGUGUGUGUAUAAAAUUACUCAACAUUCAAGUAGUCUUGAAAAAAGAUGGGUAGGAGUCACCUUCUUUCCCUUCAUCAGUUACCAGUGUUCUCUUAACAUAAUGGAAGAGGCAGGAGGUAUUCCCACCUACAACUCAGGAUUCCUAUGUCCUAUGGGUUCAGUUGUGUCCCCCCCCCCAAAAAAAAACACCAAAUACAUCUAUUGGACUCCUGGGAGUGCACACAUGCUUCUGUCUUCACAUAUGCACAGCUGAAAGUGAGAUGAUUUCUCUACUCCACAGUUGGGAAGGGGGAUUAGACAACAGAGAAGAUGGAGAAGACAAAAGGGCUUGUGGAAAACUGCAAGUCAACAUUUCUUUGGUAAGGCAGUUACCACACAUGAGCACUGGCUGCCAAGCAAAGACUAUGGUUCACUGAAGAGAACCUGACAGGAGUAGCCACCCCUCUGUUUCAGGCAGUAAUUGCCAUGUGAGACUGUGAUGGUUGUCCAGAUCUUCUGAUUAUUCAAGUAAAGCUGGAAAUUUAGAUUUGUAUUUGAUCCCUCAGAGGAAUGAAAGAAAAAAUCCCUGAAGCUG